AACACAAGACGAAACAUCUGUGUGACAGAUAAAUGUGCAAGCCUGUGUGAAUCUUAACCGAGGCCCCAUCUGUGAAACACACCGUGCGUCAUUCGUCUGACACCAGCUUUACCUUGGACUGAGAGCCCUUGUAUUCUAAGUUUCUGGGGAACCUUGCAGUGUGGCCAUGUGCUUUGAUGCCUGAGAAUAAUUGUGAAGAUCUGGGUGAAUGCAAAAG